CCUACGGGGGGCAGCAGUGGGGAAUAUUGGACAAUGGGCGAAAGCCUGAUCCAGCCAUGCCGCGUGUGUGAAGAAGGCCUUCGGGUUGUAAAGCACUUUCAGUGGGGAAGAAAGCCUUGGGGCUAAUACCCUCGAGGAAGGACAUCACCCACAGAAGAAGCACCGGCUAACUCCGUGCCAGCAGCCGCGGUAAUACGGAGGGUGCGAGCGUUAAUCGGAAUUACUGGGCGUAAAGCGCGCGUAGGCGGUCUGAUAAGCCGGUUGUGAAAGCCCCGGGCUCAACCUGGGAACGGCAUCCGGAACUGUCAGGCUAGAGUGCAGGAGAGGAAGGUAGAAUUCCCGGUGUAGCAGUGAAAUGCGUAGAGAUCGGGAGGAAUACCAGUGGCGAAGGCGGCCUUCUGGACUGACACUGACGCUGAGGUGCGAAAGCGUGGGUAGCAAACAGGAUUAGAUACCCUGGUAGUC
rnacentral:rRNA from 1 species